GAUCCCUUAUAUCUGGCUAGAAAGAAAUUAAAAUUUCGCUUUAAGAAGUUAGUAUCUCGGGUAAUAGUAGUAGUUACUUAACUAGCUUAAUACCCGUAAUCAAGACUGAGAGGUCAAUUGAUCACAAUGUGGCCUGAAUAAAGCCCAAGGUUUUUACUACAGCAGUGAGGAAUAUUGGUCAAUAGCCUAACGGCUGAACCAGCAACUUGGAAGAACGGGGUAAAUCCGAAUAAAAUAAAGUUCUAGAUAGAAUUUUGAUAAUGACAUUUUCUAUCUAUGUCUUGACCAAAGAACGUGCCAGCAGUCGCGGUAAAACGUUGAAGACUAGUGUUAUUCAUCUUUAAUAGGUUUAAAGGGUACUUAGACGGUAUAUUAAGCCCAAAAAGGGUACUAAUAUACUAGAGUUUGAUGUGAGAGGGGGAGUACUAGUGGAGUAGAGAUGAAAUUUUAUUAUACCAUUGGAACAGGUAGCGGCGAAAGCAACCCUUUAUGUAAAAACUGACGUUGAAGGACGAAGGCUUGAGACACCAACAGGAUUAGAUACCCUAGUAGUUCAAGCAGUCAAUGAUGAAUGUCAUAGAUUAGAUUAAUUUUUGUCUAUAAAUGAAAAUGUAAGCAUUCCACCUCAAGAGUAAUGUGGCAACGCAGAAACUGAAAUCAUUAGACCGUUUCUGAAACCAGUAGUGAAGUAUGUUGUUUAAUUCGAUAAUCCGCGAAAAACCUUACCACAAUUUGAAUAUUUUUGUUUUUAUAAUUAUACAAGCGUUGCACGGCUGUCUUCAGUUAAUGUCGUGAGAUUUUGGUUAGUUCCAUUAAAUUAACGCAAACCCUUACUUUAUUUAUUUUUAUAAAGUAGUUCACCGCUAUAUUGGAUAUGAUAAA
rnacentral:rRNA from 1 species